AUUCCCAUCCCCAUCCCCCUGCUCGGCGGGUGGGGGCGGCUUAAUCUUAAAGGGCUCCGAGCUGGGAUCCGGCGCCAGGGGAUUGGGACCCGGACCGAGGAGGGGCCCUGGGGGUGGGGCCGGGGUGCGGAGUGCGGUAGGGUCAGUCACGUGCGUCCUACACACUCCCCCGGCUUCCACUCGCUCCCGGGUGGCUGGGCCCUGGGGGCAGCAGGAGCCUACCCUCGCCCAAGGAGGAGGCCGAGGCACCCAGACAACCUCGCUUCAUCUUCUCUCCCUGCUACCGGCCUUGGCCUGAUAGGAUCCGCGGGUCGCUUCCCCAACCCUGUCGGGGGGCGGGACAGUGUGUGGGUUUUCCGGCUGGGGGAGGGGAGGGGAAGGAGGCCUGGAAUGGCCUCCGAUCGGUGCAUCUUUCCCGUCUGCCUCCUGGCCUGCCGCUCCGCACCCCUCCAUCCAGUUCUCCAUCCCGGUCCCUCUCUCUGCCGUGGCUGUUUCCCACUUCCUGUUUUCUUCCCGGCUCUGGCGCCAUAGAGGGCCGCCUGGAGUGGGGGAGGUGGUGGGGCCCCCCAGGAGGCCGGCGUGUUCUUCCUCUGCCACCACUCCUCCCUUCCGACCCUCAUAGUCCCUUAAAAAAAGUUUGGGCCGUCACGUGAGGUUGGGGGGUGCCCAGGAGUUUUGUCCCCCCAGGCUUGCAUAGUCUGUCUGGGAGAAUCCCUACCCCGCCUCUGUGGGACCCAGGUGUGCUUCUGGGACCUCGCCAUCCCAGCCCUUGCUGUCUGACUGCUGCCACUUCUGCACUCUGUCUCGCAGUCUCCUGAACCCCUCUCUCCAUGUGCCUGCUCUCUCCCUGCCUCACUGGCCCCCAUGUUCCCGAGGUCCCGCACCCCCAAGCUUCCUCCGUGCAGGUCUGGUGUUUCCCUGUUUUAAGCACGUGGACGCAUACACAGCACACUCACACAUGCUCCCCUUGCCCGUGCCUGGCUCCUGGCUCCAAGGCCUGGGGAACAGAGCCCCAUUGAGACACCCUGACGUCACCCCCUCUUCAUUCUCCCCCCCCCAAAGCCGGGAACAGGCCUUCAUGUAUGCUGUGUCCGAUGAGGAAAGCCGCCGUUGUGGUGGGCUUGGGAGUGGGGAAGGGUCCCUGCCAGAAGUGGGAGCCAGGGUCCAGGCCCUGGAGGAGGGGUUGCUCAGGGAAGGGGUUUAACAAGGGGGCCUGGGACAGCUCCCAGAAUGCGGCUUGAGGCCUUUCCAGAGCCCCCCCACCUCCUUUCCGAGUUCCCUUUGUGUUGCAUGUAGUCUCUCUCACUCCCUCUCUUCUGCAAAGUUUAUUUUUAGCCUCCUGCUCCCCCGCUCCCAGGACUGUCGCUGCACACACGUUGCCUGGUUACCGGGACACGGAGGCUGGGGCGGGUGGGCUGGGAAGGGUGGCUUUAAUUUUGGGGGGAGGGUGGAAGUCAGUACAUCCCCCACCCCCAGAUUGAUGUCUCAGGGGCUUUGGCCCCCCUUCUAGGUCUAGAGCCAGAUUGGGGCUGAGGUGGAAGUAACAUGGAGCUUGGUUCCCUGAGAGGGGCUGGGAGCUUUUUGGAGGGGAUAUGAGGGUCCAUGAAGCUGGUGGCUGGGUCACCUGGGUUCCAAAGGACCCUGGGCCUUGCAGGAGACCUUGUGAUCUGGAUUCUCUAGAAGGGUGAGGAUAAUGGGUUGAACACCUAGAUUCCCAAGAGAGCGAUGGUGCUCUGGGGUCUCUGGAAGGGGUUGUCAAAGGCUGUCACUUUUAAAUGGAACAGGGGCUGUUGGUGCUGGUCUGUGAACAGCUGGAGGUCAUAUCCCUGGCACCCUGAGGGGCUGGUGGAAGGCUGGGAUAUAUCUGAAUGGGGCAGGGACUCCGGGGGCUAUGUGGUACUGCAGCCCAGUCUGGGCAGGAGUUGGGGGCCUACAGUGAGCUCUGGAUUUGGAGGGGGUGGUCCCUGUGGGAGCAGGAACUACUGAUUCCCUGGAUUCCCAAGGGGAAGGAUCCCUUGUUGGAUUCCAGACUUGGGUGGAGUCUUUGAGGGUGGAUGUGUUGCCUGGAGGCCUUGUUGGUACCUGUUUGAGCUGGGGCCAAGGGAGGCGGAUUGACCCCUGCAGCCUGACUGGAUUUGGGAGCCGCCCAUCUUUAGCUGGCCACCUUGGCCUUCUCUCUCUAGUGGCACCAGGGACCCUGCUCUGCCUCCCCACUCCUUCCCUUCCUCCCCUUUCCCUCCUCCCACCCCUCCAUUACCGGCUGCCUGGUGCUGAAUUAUUGAUGGCCCCUGUUGUUGGGAAAUGACAACAACCGCAGUCCCCCCACCCCCCACC
rnacentral:lncRNA from 10 species